GACGAACGCUGGCGGCGUGCUUAACACAUGCAAGUCGAUCGGAAAGGCCCUGCUUUUGUGGGGUGCUCGAGUGGCGAACGGGUGAGUAACACGUGAGUAACCUGCCCUUGACUUUGGGAUAACUUCAGGAAACUGGGGCUAAUACCGGAUAGGAGCUCCUGCUGCAUGGUGGGGGUUGGAAAGUUUCGGCGGUUGGGGAUGGACUCGCGGCUUAUCAGCUUGUUGGUGGGGUAGUGGCUUACCAAGGCUUUGACGGGUAGCCGGCCUGAGAGGGUGACCGGCCACAUUGGGACUGAGAUACGGCCCAGACUCCUACGGGAGGCAGCAGUGGGGAAUAUUGCACAAUGGGCGGAAGCCUGAUGCAGCAACGCCGCGUGCGGGAUGACGGCCUUCGGGUUGUAAACCGCUUUCGCCUGUGACGAAGCGUGAGUGACGGUAAUGGGUAAAGAAGCACCGACUAACUACGUG
rnacentral:rRNA from 1 species